GUGAGGAAUAUUGGUCAAUGGGCGAGAGCCUGAACCAGCCAAGUCGCGUGAAGGAUGAAGGUUUUAUGAAUUGUAAACUUCUUUUGCAGGGGAAUAAAGUACGGUACGUGUACCGUUUUGUAUGUACUCUGCGAAUAAGGAUCGGCUAACUCCGUGCCAGCAGCCGCGGUAAUACGGAGGAUCCAAGCGUUAUCCGGAUUUAUUGGGUUUAAAGGGUGCGCAGGCGGGUUGAUAAGUCAGCGGUGAAAGUUUGCAGCUUAACUGUAAAAUUGCCGUUGAAACUGUCGAUCUUGAGUGCAAAUGAGGUAAGCGGAAUGUGUUGUGUAGCGGUGAAAUGCUUAGAUAUAACACAGAACACCGAUUGCGAAGGCAGCUUACUGGGAUGCAACUGACGCUCAUGCACGAAAGCGUGGGGAUCAAACAGGAUUAGAUACCCCGGUAGUCC
rnacentral:rRNA from 1 species